rnacentral:tRNA from 1 species
GGUGUGGUGGCUGAGUGGGUAAGCACCUGGCUUCCAAACUGGGGGUCCCAAGUUUGAAUCCUGGUAAAACUG